rnacentral:lncRNA from 1 species
UAUUGAAAUUUUUUAUAAAUUGAUUGACAGGAGACAAUAUAUUGAUUUUUAUAUCAUCAUAUAUUCCAAAGAUCAUAAUGUUUUUUUUCUCAUAACAAUUUUAAGAUUUGGAAUUUAAAGAUAUGUGAAGUAUAAAUCAUUUUCUUUUUGAAAAUAUCCUAUAUUUGAAAAAUUUAAAUACCUAAAUGCUCAAGAUAAAUUGUAUUAAAACUGGAUAUUUAUUUUAUUUUUAUGUAAUCAACGAACUGGUGGACAAAAUUUUAGAAAAAAAACCAUAGCAUUUUAUUGCUAUAGAUAUAGAAAAAACAUUGUAGAGUUAGUAGGAAUCAAUUUUGUUUGUCAAACUGUUAUGAAAUAAGUGUUGCAAUUUGACAAUGUUAAUUAUGAAUAGCCUACAGAAACUGGAGAUUAUGAUAUAAAUGACAAAC